rnacentral:lncRNA from 1 species
UGAGAAAAGGCUUUACCACACUGAUUACAUUCAUAGGGUUUCUCUCCAGUAUGUGUCCUUUUAUGCAUUUGAAGAGCACUGUGAUGAGAAAAGGCUUUACCACACUGAUUGCAUUCAUAGGGUUUCUCUCCAGUAUGUGUUCUUUUAUGCCUUUGAAGUGUACUGUGCAGAGAAAAGGCUUUACCACACUGAUUGCAUUCAUAGGGUUUCUCUCCAGUAUGUGUCCUUUUAUGCAUUUGAAGAGCACUGUGCUGAGAAAAGGCUUUACCACACUGAUUACGUUCAUAGGGUUUCUCUCCAGUAUGUGUUCUUUUAUGCAUUUGAAGAUUACCGUGCUGAGAAAAGGCUUUCUCACACUGAUUACAUUCAUA